CGACCAUCCCGAGCGGCCGAGAGACCUGGCUCCACGACGCCGCAGCAACCACUCCGAUCAUCCCGGAGCCGGUGCUAACGCCAGGUGCGAUGGAGCUGAUGCACCGAUGAGCA
rnacentral:ncRNA from 2 species